CCUUAUGAAAACUUGGACUGAUUUCAGUCACAGCUUGCUUGAGCAAAGUCAGGUAAAAAACAUAAACUUCCAGAACUUCCAUCAGGUGACUCUGCACAUGGAAGAAGGGACUGUCCUGCGUGCUACUGCUCCUGGAAAAUAGCUCUGGAAACUCCAUGCAGCACGAAAGCAAAUGGUGGAAGCUUGCAUUACUUUUAUAACUCAGAAACAUUGGCUUGUGCAACCUCCUGCCGGCAGUGCAGCUGGUCACUCUGAUGGAGCAUAUGGAAGCACCAGCAUAGAGAAAACAAGCCCCAGCCCCGGAGCAGGAGAUAAGCAGCAGAAUGCCCUUGCACCUUCUGAUUCAUACAGCUCAGGUUACAUCUCAAGGGACCCAAGGCCAGGGAAAUUGAAUUCUGUCGGAUAGCAGCAUUCUUUCGUCUUGCCUUCCAACCUCUAACCAGCCUUGAAAAUGCAUGGGAUGAAGGAUGCGAUGGAAAAACAUUCAUCACCGUGUUGACCACUGAUCAAAAGCACUUAGCUGGGAAGUGCAGGAUCUGCCAUCAUCUUUUAUUUUCUAUAGACACAAAGCAGAGUAGCUGAUCUGACAUCUGUAAAAAAAUAAUAAUAAUAAAAAAGUGAAAACCUCAAUCAAAGAGCAAUUCUCAAAUGGAAAGCCACUGUGUUAGGUUAUCAAGGAGGGUCAACAGCUUUUGAGUUCUUUCAAGUCAUUAUAAUACUUCUAGGGCUCCUUGUAUUGAAAAGGGACAAAGUACACAGUAACCUGAACCUUUUGGCCCCAAAUUCAAACCAAGUCUCAUCCCAGAAACUUUUAGUAGUAUGAAAUAGCUUGUCUGGCUUUCUGCCUUACUAAUUCACAUUCUUCUGCAUAUUCUUUUUUUUCUUUUUGGCUUGGGACUGCUGAGAAAAGUUCUUCUUAUGGCAUGUUCACUCUGGAUAAAAGUACAAAUCACUUGGAAAAUCCAGUUUUAUGAGCUUUCCAGAGUACUUGAUGGAUCACAGAGGCUUCAUUUCAGGCAGCCUGUUAUACCAGCAGGGCUCAGAUGAUGCUCACUUCAUUCUCUUGCUUCAUGAACUGGUAGGACCAUCUUCGGCCAUCUGCAGAAGCUGUCUUAGCUCUGACCGGAGGUAACUACAGAGAGCAGAGAGGGCACCUGCUUCUUCCCACCACUUUAAACUGCUUCUUUUUCUUCAGCUUUACAGUAAGUCUAUGUGACUUCUGAAAAAAAAAAAAAAUACAGAAAAGUUCUGCCCAUGCUUACAGCAGAUGAGAGUCAGCUCUGAAGCAGAACAUGCCGAUUCUCAGGACCACAUGGACCUGCACUCAGGCCAAUAAGCACUACUCAGUUUUUAACCCAUAUUAAUGAAAGUGGCAAUCUGGAUGCCUACUUCAGUGUAACACCUCUUUAAAGUAAAAUAAAGCUGUUUGCAACCGCACUGGUUAUUCUGUGCCCAAUUGUGGGCACACCGUGAAAUUUUCCAAACCAUCUGGUGGACUUCACCUAAGCUUGAUGUAAGAGUAGGGCAUUGUCAGAUGAGUGCUUGCAAUAUAUUUUGAGCCAUUUAAGAAGCUACCUGCUCUCAGCUCUAAAUUGCGGCUGCCUUAGCUGGGACAUUGUCUCUGACAUCCAUUUUGGUGCAAAGUAUGACAGAUUGACUUAAAUUGCCUGUUAAAAUUCCCUGUCUAGAAGUAACCAAAUACACUGCAGAUAUUUCAAGGUAUUUUGAUGCCAAAAGAAGCAGAUAGGCACUAGUCAGCAUUUCAAAGUCUGGAAGUACUAAUUUGCAUCCUAGAUAUCCAAUUUCCUUUCCAGAUGUGGCUUGCAGAUGCAGGGGUAUGCAGGCAUCUGACCUUACAUAGACACCUAAACACAAAAUGAUUUUAAUGGGAAUUCAGGCACUUGGUAUGGGGCUUCGUUUUACAUUUCUUCAAUCAUCUGAAAUUUAAAUGUCUUUUCUUAGCUAUUUCUGAAGAGACUCUUUACAGUUACUGAAGAGAUUUAUAGUUAUUAUGCUGUAUAGUUAUAUAUGAUAUCCCCCAUGCUGUGUAGGAGUUAAGUGCCUUGAUACCUUUGCACGUGUGUCCCUAAAGGUUUGCAUCUCUUCUGGAAAUAGGACAUAGGCAUCUAUGUUACCUAACCUUAUGUAUGUGUUUUCUGAGGGUGGCAAACUAAAGCAAAGCUUAACAUGAGAACAAAGCCCUAGCAUGAAACCGUAAGAAGAAUUAUCAUCCCCCCCAGCAUGAAGGUGCUGAAUUUCCAGUUGAAACAGCAGCUUUAUGCUGAGUUACUAGCAUUGUCUUUUUGUUUUAUGGAUAGCCUUACUUGCUUAACAGAAUCAAAGAAGAUAAAGUACUUGCAUGGAUAUGUAUUCACUGCUGUUCUGUUGGUAGUGAUUUGAAACCUUUCACUCCUGUGAUGUUAAUGUCACUUUUAAUAUUGCAAAUUCGCUAAGAUGCCAAGCGAACAGCAUUUAAAUAAUAUCUUUACAGGACUGAUGUGUUUUUGGGUGAGAAUGGUUGUGGCUUUUUUACUAGCAUCCUUGCAAAGUAUGUAGUCUGCAGCCUCCUGCUUUAAUUUCUGAUAUAAAUGUAAAUGGUAAUUUUAACAUUUUAGAUACUAACUUGAUUUCAUCUGAUUUUGGCAAGACACGUGCCAUGUAUUUUACAAUUUAAAAAUCAGGUUUGAAAAUGUCAGCUUUCAUGAGCAGGCGGGCUGUGUCAUUUACAGCACACCGAAGGCACGUGGCAGAUAAGGUAAAGUGGGGCUAAGGAGGCAUUUAGACAUGAUUUGCAUAAGAGAAGGGUGCUGGGGGGGAAAGGCUAAACUAUUGGGAAACUGGUUGCCUCAAUAUGAAUAUCUAAAUGAAACGCUGUUGGACGGCUUCUGACACUACAACUGCAUUGCACCUUGGCUACUCGUUGUGCUGGACAUUUCAUAGUUGGAUGCAGCAGCUAGCUUUAAGCCUGCA